CGCGUAGGCGGCCGUUUAAGUCUGGAGUGAAAGUCCUGCUUUCAAGGUGGGAAUUGCUUUGGAUACUGGACGGCUUGAGUGCAGGAGAGGUAAGUGGAAUUCCCAGUGUAGCGGUGAAAUGCGUAGAGAUUGGGAGGAACACCAGUGGCGAAGGCGACUUACUGGACUGUAACUGACGCUGAGGCGCGAAAGUGUGGGGAGCAAACAG
rnacentral:rRNA from 1 species